rnacentral:misc_RNA from 1 species
GAAGGACAAGACGUUUUAUGAAGGAGUUCUUGAUUCCUAUGACCCCAUUAAAAAGAAGCACAAGGUUUUGUAUGCUGAUGGGGAUGAAGAAAUACUAAAUCUCAGAAGGGAACGUUGGGAACUAAUUGGUGGUGCUAUUUUGCCUGAUGAAGAGCCCAAAACUGAUAUACCAAAUGCUGAUCCUUCAUCUGAUAAACCACAAAAGCAAAACGGAGAAGUGAUUUUGGAGUCAGCCAAACAACGGAAGAUUGAUUUGAAAGGGAGCAGAGCCACCAGCAUUUCCAAGAGAAAAGCUAGAAAAUCUGCCGGUGCUGUUACACAGGAUGAACCUAUUGUUGCUGACAAAG